UACGGAGGGGGCUAGCGUUGUUCGGAAUUACUGGGCGUAAAGGGCUUGUAGGUGGCCAACUAAGUCAGACGUGAAAUCCCACGGCUUAACCGAGGAACUGCGUCUGAUACUGGAUGGCUUGAGUGUGGGAGAGGGAUGCGGAAUUCCAGGUGUAGCGGUGAAAUGCGUAGAUAUCUGGAGGAACACCGGUGGCGAAGGCGGCAUCCUGGACCAUGACUGACACUGAAAAGCGAAAGCCAGGGGAGCAAAACGGG
rnacentral:rRNA from 1 species